UGGCGGACGGGUGAGUAAUGUCUGGGAAACUGCCCGAUGGAGGGGGAUAACUACUGGAAACGGUAGCUAAUGCCGCAUAACGUCGCAAGACCAAAGAGGGGGACCUUCGGGCCUCUUGCCAUCGGAUGUGCCCAGAUGGGAUUAGCUAGUAGGUGGGGUAACGGCUCACCUAGGCGACGAUCCCUAGCUGGUCUGAGAGGAUGACCAGCCACACUGGAACUGAGACACGGUCCAG
rnacentral:rRNA from 1 species